rnacentral:rRNA from 1 species
AGCGAACGCUGGCGGCAGGCCUAACACAUGCAAGUCGAGCGCCGUAGCAAUACGGAGCGGCAGACGGGAGAGUAACACGUGGGAACGUACCCUUUGGCUCGGAACAACCCAGGGAAACUUGGGCUAAUACCGGAUAAGCCCUCACGGGGAAAGAUUUAUCGCCGAAGGAUCGGCCCGCGUCUGAUUAGCUAGUUGGUGGGGUAAUGGCCCACCAAGGCGACGAUCAGUAGCUGGUCUGAGAGGAUGAUCAGCCUCACUGGGACUGAGACACGGCCCAGACUCCUACGGGGGGCAGCAGUGGGGAAUAUUGGACAAUGGGCGCAAGCCUGAUCCAGCCAUGCCGCGUGGGUGAUGAAGGCCCUAGGGUUGUAAAGCCCUUUCGGCGGGGAAGAUAAUGACGGUACCCGCAGAAGAAGCCCCGGCUAACUUCGUGCCAGCCGCCGCCGUAACAC